rnacentral:rRNA from 1 species
UACGGAGGGUGCAAGCGUUGUUCGGAUUCACUGGGCGUAAAGGGUGCGUAGGCGGAUCGGCAGGUCGGAUGUGAAACCUCCACAGCUUAACUGGGAGCCUGCAUUCGAAACCGCCGAUCUUGAGUGCGGGAGAGGAGAGCGGAAUUCCUGGUGUAGCGGUGAAAUGCGUAGAUAUCAGGAAGAACACCGGUGGCGAAGGCGGCUCUCUGGCCCGACACUGACGCUCAGGCACGAAGGCUAGGGGA